rnacentral:rRNA from 1 species
CGGCAGGCCUAAUACAUGCAAGUCGAACGGUAACAUUGGUGCUUGCACCAGAUGACGAGUGGCGCACGGGUGCGUAACGCGUAUGCAAUCUACCUUUUACUAGAGUAUAGCCCAGAGAAAUUUGGAUUAAUCCUCUAUAAUAUCUUUUAAUUUCAUGAUUUUAAGAUUAAAGUUUUAACGGUAAAAGAUGAGCAUGCGUCCUAUUAGUUUGUAGGUGAGGUAACGGCUCACCUAGACUACGAUAGGUAGGGGCCCUGAGAGGGGGAUCCCCCACACUGGUACUGAGACACGGACCAGACUCCUACGGGAGGCAGCAGUAAGGAAUAUUGGACAAUGGACGAAAGUCUGAUCCAGCCAUGCCGCGUGCAGGAUGAAAGCCCUACGGGUUGUAAACUGCUUUUAUACAGGAAGAAACACUCCGACGUGUCGGAGCUUGACGGUACUGUAAGAAUAAGGAUCGGC